CUUGGAUGUUAAAACGGCCCUCCUUUGAAUUGUCAGUCACUGAAAUGUCCAAUCUGAGUUUUAGACCCCUGGAAUACAAGGACAAACAAAGGGAUUUUUUUUUCUUAAUGACAUACACAGGUGAAUUGUUCACCACAAAACUAGCAAUGUGAGCUAACAAAAUCAGUAUAGUUAGUUUUAGUUUCAUGUGCACUUUAAAUCUGAAUCGCUGGAAGGAUGGGAUUUGUUUAAUCUGUGUGGACUGCAAGCGGAGAUGAAGAGCAGCAGCGCCUCUUAAAAGCAAACCUUCAUUAGGCGGAAGUUAGGUCGCGGAGGUUAAUGCCAGUGCGAGUGUCCUGACAGCACGUCUCCUGCUAUGGGACGGGGUCAUGCGUUUGCUUUCACUGCACCUAAUGAGCUCCAACAGAUUGUGACUUUCUCCUGCUCUCUCUGCCAAUCACAGGUCGGGAGAUGACAUUCCCGCUUGUUUUUGGGGCUUGGAGGCCUGGUGUAGCACAGUGGGUGGGUUCAGCUCUCCGGCUCUGAAGUCAUGCGAGGAAGAGGUGGAGGAGACGGGUGGAGAUGCCACGCUUUUAUGACGCCUUGCAUCAUGGUAUACAGCUGGAGUGGAAAGCUGCCAUGACAUCAGCCAGAGGACAGCAGGAUUCUGGGCCUGGGACAGGAAGUGACUCACAGGAAGUGAGCUGAGCAACAUGUGGAUGCGUGGCUGUUUGAUGUGUUUUGAGCUGCUCCACAGACGCUCCGUUUCCAAGUGUGCUGGACGUCAUCGAACGGACGCUUCACAGAAAGGCGUAGUGAGCCUCCUCUCAAAUUAGCGGGCCGCUGUGGGAUAACAAAGGCCUCGGGAUCCGCCGCAGACCCUGUCCGAACUUCAGCGUCCCUCUGGCACGAGUCCAGCAGUCGUAUCCCAGCUGCCCUCAUCAAAGGUACGCGCUGCAUAGUUUCCAAACGCCGACCGCCAGAAAUCUGGAAAUCGGAUUCUGAUGCUGCAUGAAUCUGGUCGGAGGAACUGCAGAUACUUUCGGUGUGGUUUGCACUCAGUGAGACGAAUCAAAUAACUGUUCCCUGCCAGACUGAAUCCCUCCCAGCCGAUGCCUAGACUGGUGCUAGUAAAGCCAUAUGCUUGAAUUUUCCCAAGUUUGAUACAGUAAAACAAACUGUUUUACUUGCCAAGGUGCAUCUUCAGUCAGGUAUUUUAAAGUAUAGCUGAAAACAAAA